rnacentral:lncRNA from 1 species
GGCCUCACGGGAUCAUUCCGAGCCUUGGACCGUCGCUCGGCGCCGCUCGCGGAUUGGGGCCUCUUCCGGCUCGGGACAACUAUCUUACGAGGCAUGCUAGACCUAGAGAGGGGAAAGGACACGAGGAGUCGGAAGAUACUCGACGGAAAAGCCCUAAUGGAGGUCGGAGACGAGGUCGGAGACGGCUCUAGGGUUUGUGAACAGUGGAGGCGGUGAAUAGAAGUGUCGAUUAAAUGCUUCGAUUAGGGUUAAAACAUCGGAUCCCCGACCGCGA